GGUAGUGACAAGAAAUACCAAUAUAGGACCCAACGGGUACUAUGUUUGGAAUGAGUACAAUUUAAAAACCUUAACGAGGAACAAUUGGAGGGGCAAGUCUGGUGCCAGCAGCCGCGGUAAUUCCAGCUCCAAUAGUGUAUAUUAAAGUUGCUGCGGUUAAAAAGCUCGUAGUUGGAUUUUCGGAGUUGUUAUCUGAACCUUCUCGCCAUAAAAAAGUGGGGGGGGCUAAGGUAGCAGUAGUUUUCAUCAUAGUCCACCAGGAUACUCUCUUGGUGUGUACUGGGUGUUAACCUCCUUUUUUCUGGUACUUGCUAUCCAGCAAUGGGUAGUUUUGUCCAGAUAGUUUACUUUGAAAAAUUAGAGUGUUCAAAGCAGCCUGUAUGGGCAUUGAAUAGAUUAGCAUGGGAUAAUAGAAUAGGAUUCUUACCUAUUUAUUGGUUUAUAGG
rnacentral:rRNA from 1 species